UAAUGUAUUUGUUUAUAGCUUAGUCUCAAGCGUGUCAUUUCUGUAGAAGCAUGCGUUUUGCGUGUAAGUAGUCAUACUUGAGUCAAAUACAUUGUCGUAAUUGCAUUGGGUAAUAUCACAUUUCGGUCACUUAGCAACAUAUAUAUUUGUGACAUAAACGGCAUCAUAUUCUGUUUUGUCAGCAAUUGUAAAACCUCCUAUAGCUCCUGCCAGCGCACCUGGAACCGGCUUCUGUGGAGGAAGGACGGACGGAGAUUACCCAAGUUCUGAGGGCUGUGGGGAGUUCUUCCACUGCAUGGAUGGCACCACAUACGUCUUGGCCUGCGUUCCUGGCUCCGGGUUCAACCCCCGUACUGGCAGCUGUGAGAGAACUUACACUUUCAAGUGCACCAUUGGCAGUGAUCCUGCUAACGACCACUGAACAAGAUUUGACGUAGUUCUGCGACAACAACCUGGAUGGUGCCAACCCAAAUGUCAUGGUGUCUUCAAAACAUCGCGGGUCAAACAUUCAGCGUGACGUUCUCCCGGACUUGCCUUCAAUAUUAGGGAUAUCGUGACGUUCCUGGACGUAAAUACGUCAACAAGAAUGCUAGAUAAAGGACAGUUGGACAUCAUAUGUAAUUUGACAUACAAUAAGUGCAUUGUCCACGUUUCCUAGAUAGCAGUCCAGUCGUUCUCACAUCCGCUCCUGUGAACUUCUACUAUGUGGUCUAGGCAGAUUGUAAAGGUUGUUUAAUGACACAUUCCUUCUUGUGCACUUCUACUAUGUGGUCUAGGCAGAUUGUAAAGGUUGUUUAAUGACACAUUCCUUCUUGUGCACUUCUACUAUGUGGUCUAGGCAGAUUGUAAAGGUUUUAAUGACACAUUCCUUCUUGUGCACUUCUACUAUGUGGUCUAGGCAGAUUGUAAAGGUUUGAAUGACACAUUCCUUCUUGUGCAAUAUUCUUACAGUGGUUAUUAAUGUGUUGAAUAAAUUUUACAUCAAA